GCCAACAGGAGAAUCAUUUCUAUAGUAUUCGUCUCUCGCUUUGGUUCCCAAAAGAGCCAUCGAAUCCACCCUGGUUGAUGAUUGCAUAUCCUCGGCAUCCAAGAGUGAAUACUUUUCUGGUCCUCUCGCACCAUCCGCAAGGAUGGCGGCAAAGCUUUGCGCUUCUGCUGUAUAGAGAGUUGUUUCUUCUUGAUGAUCUCGACCCUAUCGACGGCUGCCUUUGGGCCCGUUGGUGGGGUGGAUGUCGAUGGACGUCUGACAGGC
rnacentral:snoRNA from 1 species